CCUAAGACAUGCAAGUCGAACGAGAUGGCCCAUUGAAGAUUGAGUGCUUGCACGAUUUCGGAUUUGGAUUUCCAUCUAGUGGCGGACGGGUGAGUAACACGUGGGUGACCUACCUAUGAGAUUGGGAUAACUAUUGGAAACGGUAGCUAAUACCGAAUAACAUACAGUUUCGUUUCUGUAUUGAAAGAUGCCUUCAAGCAUUGCUCAUAGAUGGGCCUGCGGCGUAUUAGCUAGUUGGUGGGGCAAUGGCCUACCAAGGCAACGAUGCGUAGCCGGACUGAGAGGUUGAACGGCCACAUUGGGACUGAGACACGGCCCAAACUCCUACGGGAGACAGCAGUUAGGAAUAUUCGUCAAUGGGGGAAACCCUGAACGAGCAAUGCCGCGUGAGUGAUGAAAGGUCCUUUGGAUUGUAAAACUCUGUUGAAUGGGAAGAAUUGCCAAACUAGGAAAUGAGUUUGGAGUGACGGUACCAUGCCAGAAAGCUCCGGCUAACUACGUGCCAGCAGCUGC
rnacentral:rRNA from 1 species